UGUUCCUGUUAAGUUUUUGUCCAAAUCUUCUAUUUCUUCUUUUGAUCUUUUUUUACAUUUUCAAGUUCUCUUCAGAUUUCUCAUUUUCUUGGUUGAAUUUCAUGGCUAUUGAACGAAAGAUAAAACUUUUAGACGAUGAAAAAGUAACUUUUUGGUUCUCAUCUCUUGUCUUUCGUCCAUUUCCAUCUUUGGACCUAUUAGUGGAGGGCAUAAGUAUUCACAAGCUAUUGCUCUGUACACACAAGUGAUUAAGUUGAACAGUGAGAAUGUGGUGUACUGGGCUAAUAGUGUGUUUGCUCACAUCAAUUUGAAGGAAUAUUGCAGCGUAAUAGAGGACGGAGCUAAAGCUAUUGAAAUUGUCCCUAGAUAUUCAAAGGCUUGUUUCAAAUUGUCAAAAUAUUAGAAAAGAAUUGUGCUUACUUUUUUAUUGUUUUUGAUGUAGGUUGAUACGGGUGCUGUGUGCUUAAUCUCUGAUGGGUUGUGAUCGGGGUUGCAGGGUUAUUAUAGGCGAGAGGCUGCAUAUUUGGCAAAGGGAAGUUCAAAGAUGCAUUCAAGAAUUUUCAACAGGUUGGUAUUGUUUUUUGAACAUGUUAAGUUGUAUCAGCUGCAUAUUGCUGGUGAUAAUCAAAUUGUUCUUAUUUUUUAUUUUAAAGCUUUACUACAAAAUAUAUCUUGAGAAGAACAUUGCUUAUGUAACUAGCUACCACAUUUAGAAGAGAAGAUAAUGCCAUACCAAUGACAUUGUUUGUGCAUUAUGUUAUUUGUGACCUUUAAGAUUCCUUGUCAAUUCUAUGCUCCAGCAACUUCCAUAUGUACUAGAUAAGUUAUCUGGAAAUACUAAUAACAUUUUGACAUCAAAUUUAAGUUCAAUGACAUUUAGUUGUAGCAGAUUAAGGUAGAAGAUGACCAAUCCCACCCUUGAACAUCUGAAGAAUUUUUUAGGCAGAAUUGGCAUAAUUAUUAUUCUUUUUUGUUUUCAUUUGCAGAAAGAAGUCAUAUGGUUGAUUCUGGUUAGUUGUCAGAGCAGGUCAUAUUUGUGGAACUUUUAGUUGCAUUAGUUGCAAAUCAGUAAACUUGAAUGAAAAACUUUUUGUUAUCCUUGACUCAACCUACAAGCUCCUAAGUCACAUAGAAUAUUAAGAAAGUGAACUUGCAUUUGUUUCUAAUUUUUCUACUAUUAUAGAAACAUGAGUUUCAGAGUAGAUCGUAACACUUCAUGAUGAAUGGAUAUGUGAAUCUUGAAACUUUUUACGUUUCAAUGAGCUUGGUGUGAUUAAAAGAGAAGACAAAGUUGUUUUAUAUUAUCUGUUAGUUAUUAACAAUCAAAAAGAAUAUAUGUUGGUUAUUCCAAAAAGGCUUAUAAUUGUCCUGAUUCAAUUAGUGCUUUUUUCUUCUUCGAAGGAUAAUGCAAAACAUUAUUUUUCCUUUUAGAUGAGUUUUCGCUUUUAAUAGGUUAUGUAUAUACCAAUGAGCCAUUUCAUAUGUGAUUUCUAUGGCAUUAAUUUGUAUAGUAGAUAUCCAUGUUCAACUUAAAGUUUAUCUGGAAGAUAAGGUUGUGAGGCUCAUUAAUUUUUACUUCUACGCUUGAUUUUUCUUUUUCUCAUGCGAAAUAUAUUUUGUUGAGAAAAUAUGCAUAAUUAGAAACCUGAAGCUUUGGUGGAAUGGAGAAAUGCCCAACUUUCAUGGGAUGGAAAAGGAAUAAGCGGAGUGGAAUUUCUAGCUUUCUGGAAUGAGGCUUGGACGGCUCAGUUGUCAAUUAAAUUCCAUGUUCUUUGUUGGUAAAAAGGCAUAUACCAUUCAAGAUUAACUGUACGCCAUGGGAGGGAAAUGAUGAUUGUCCUACUAUUACUGCUCUUGCUGCUUUUGGGCUAUAUUCCACACUGCCAAUAUGCUAAAAGCUCUAGAGCUUUGACCUACAGUCGAGGUGAAAGCAAAGCAGUUACAAAAACGAGAUACAGGGACCGAGUGGAAGAGUUAAAAAUCUAUAGGCCUAUCCGACAACAUCUAUGUAGUUGAAGUGCAGGGACUUCAUACAGGCCAUCUAAACUGCCACCAACCCACUUCAGCUAUAAGCAUACAGAUUAGACCAUGCUUAUUUAGGAAGCAUUAUGCUUUUAGUUUUGAUAAAUGUUCCUCUCUGGUCGAACUUAAAUGGACCAUUCCUGCAGCAAAAGGAAAUGCCAACUUUGUACUACUGUUGCUGCUAAUGUUCUUACUGCUCUUAACUGAAUAUUGUAUCUCUGUAGGGAUGAUGAAACAACUACAUUCUGUUGUAUUUCAUCUUCACACUUCCUGUACAAACUUCUCAUGACACUUAAAAUGUAGCUAUAUGUUCUUUUUUGGGUUGAGCAUAGUUUAUUAAUUGCAGCUCUAUCAGUGUUCCUGUCAAAUUUUAGUUUAACUUUUGAGCUUUCCGUCCGUGCUUCUUCUAAUAUGCUUAGUUGUAUCCUUCUGUAAAUUUCUUCCUUUACAAAAAUCAUAAGCUAUAUUACAUCGAGAGACACAGUGGUUCACAUGGACAAAAAACUAAAAACUAUAUGUAUUAAUUUACUGGUGCUUCAAUCUUUGACCUUUUGCAGAGUUGGGGACAAAAGAUCUGAAAUGGUAUCUUAUAUCAAACUGAGAUUGUAACGUUAACAUGUUGCAUCUUCUUUCUCCAUUUUUUUUAUGACAUGGGAACCCGCAGACGCUACCCUUCGGGUGCGCACAGGGUAAACUCAGCUCCUGUGCAAUAGCUCGCAAACCACACAAGAGAGGUAACCCGCACUAGGCAAGCCCGGUGCGACGAGCUAGAUCUAGAAGGCAAAAUCCCCUGCUGUCGUAGGCAGGGGGUUUCGAACUUGAGACCUCCAUUGUGAAAGCCCCAUGCUCAACCAACUAAGCCACCCUUGCGGGUUUCUUUCUCCAUUUUUGAGAAAGCUAAAAUAGAUAGGGUCAUGUCUUGAAAGAUACUUAUGAGCUGGUUAAAUUACAUGUCCAAAUAUGGUUUCAAAUUAUCCAAGCGGCUCCUAAAUCAUUUUUUAAUAUUUCCUCCCAAUAAUUUCUUUCUCUGACUUCUCUUCCUUUCUAAUUCCAUUUAGUCCACAUGUACUUUGAAUUCUGAAUCAAGCAAUGAAAAAAGGGUAAAGUCUUAGCAGGAAAAUCUCAUUAUGGUUCUAUACUUGUACUAUGAUUUGUUAUCUUUGACCUCUUAGAAAGGGAGGGAAAUCGGUUUGACAAAUGUCAAGCUAGUUAACUGAGCUAUGAAAUUGUACAGAUUACUUGAUAAUUAAUAAAAAGUCUUAGUUGCCAAAAGAAGAAGGGGAGGGAAACUGAGUUAUAAUUUGUAACCCUUUUGUAUUUCUUUGUAGGAAGAGUGAUGUUAUAGGUGGUAUGUAGCAAUCCAGCUAUUAGAAUAGGCUAUAUUCGACGGGAAGUAGAAAGAGUAAAAUAUGUUGGUUUUCUAUGAAUGGUUUAUGAAGAAGUAAUUGUUCAUUUUACCAUUAAUUGUGAAAGACCAAAGUAUUAACUUACAUUGUGCUGGUGUAUCAUGUCAAAGCAUUUCAUGCAUCUUAUGUAUAUGACUUUUCAUUAUCUAUUUUCACUGGAAAUUCGAAUAAAAAGUAUAUUGUUAGUACUAUGCUUUGUUGUCGAAUGGCAUAACUUCCCUUUUGGAUCGUCAACAUAGUAGUUCUGAACCUCAAUUUGGUUGUUCCUUCGACCGAGACUGUAGUUUUACUACAAGGAAGUGUGUUUGCUCUUUCGCGUUUGAUUAUUUUGUUAAGAUGGUAUCUAAAUUUCUUGAGCCCCCACCUUUUAUUCCUACUGAUGUCCCCGGAGUUGAUCACUGUCUUUUGUUGAAAAAAAUUGGUGCUUCAAGAAUAUCUGUGCACAUUUCUUGCUGGAAUGUAUUAGUGGAGUCAUUGUUUUAAUCAUCAUAAAUUUUCUUUUUCUCAGAUUUGUGCAUCAAUACAUUAAGAGGUUCAAUCUCUAAAACUAGAGGAAAUUUGACAUACGUACCUAAACUGUUAAACCAACAACUUUAUAAUUUUACAACCAAUCCCUUUACAGUGAUUCGUUUCAAAUCCAUUGCCUGCCUAUGACCAAAAGGGACGAUAAUUGUGUCAAAAUCUUAAAAGUCUCGCCUCAUGUUGGGUCGGGGCGCAGCACGGGCAAUGCCCUAAAUUUGGCAAAAAAUUUGUCACUUUGGCUAGGACUUAGUUUUGUGUUAGCUGUGGAAAGAGGUGUACUGCUUUUUGUGGUAGCUGUGGAAAGAGGUGUGGCAUGCUGCUCCCAUUUAAACACAUCUUGAACAGAAGGAUAUGCAGUCAUAACAUGUUUUUCAUUCUUAAGAGUUGAAUUGGUAUCAGUUGAUUUAUUUUACUAAGCUUCGUUUUGUUUUGUGCUUGCUACCAUCCUAUUCUUAUAGGAUCAUAUUUUUAACUUAUUGUAGUUUCAUAAUUAUCUCUUUCUAAAUUAUUGGAUUGUGAAGUGAUAUUGUUCACAUAAAAGUACAUUUAAGCCGGAAUGUCAGGCCCACGCAUCACGUAAACCAUGAUCCAUGUACAUUCUUAUGAUAAUGAUUUAUAUGACAUCUAAUUGCAAUAGGAAUAUAUAUAAUCUGGGAAGAAAAGUAUUUAGAAUCUCCAGGUCAUUAUUAGUAGAUGAAUAAGGAUGAGUAAGAUGGAAUAAGAUUCAUCAAACAUUCCAACUAGAAAUAUAACUGUCAAAAAGAAGAUAAAUGCCAAUCAACUUUACAAUAAUGGAACCAUCUACUCACAUAUAUGUGUCCUAUAAAAUAUGGUGUAGACUAGAAAGAGUAUCACGACUAAAAGAAUCUGAUCUCAUAAUUGGUAUAUGCUUAUUAAUUUAUCCAUGAAAAGCCCUGUGAAAUUGAAAUGACGAAUAUUCCUUUUUUGUAAAUUGUGGUACACUGUAGCAAAAUGGCUUUCUCCAUCAAGGAGUUAUAUACAUGAAGGUGUUCUCAGGAGCCUUUAGAAACUAAUUGGUCCUGUAUGAUACCAUUGACAGACAAAAUUUAAGUAAAGAGGAUUCUAAACACUCAAACCAUUUAAAUAUGACUUGUGUGGACUGAGUCAACAGUGGUAAAUAAGCCUGCAAUAUUGAAAGUUCAUGAAAGCAAAAGAAAGACAUAAUUACUCUGAGCUGUAAAUGAUUUACUUUUGGAACGAUUUUGCUCGACAUUAAUUGGCAGUUGAAGUUUAUCGAUGGAAGUCGGAUGUGCCGGAGACAUUAGCAUGGAGGAUAGUGCAAUAUGCACUGGACAGUUUCAAGAGCACAGAGCAUUACACGCUUUCUAGAGUGUUCACAGUGGUGGAAAGUAUGAUCAUAUUACUGUCAAUUGUAGCCAAUAUAUUUGGCCUUUAUAGUGUUGUGUUUUUUUAUGUCAGAUAACUUACUGUGAGAAAUUAGAAUUUAACAAUUCUUAGUAGUUGUAAACAAUGAUCUUCAUAGGUUAGAUAUUAGUUGAGAAACAAACAAGAAAUAUGUAUGUAAUUUGAUUCUUUAUGUUUGGUCCCGUUUGAUCAUUCAUUCAUUCAUUCAUUCAUUAUGAAGCUAUAUUGUUUUCC